GUGUGACUCGUCACACUAUCAUUAACUGAAUCCAUAGGUUAAUGAGGCGAACCGGGGGAACUGAAACAUCUAAGUACCCCGAGGAAAAGAAAUCAACCGAGAUUCCCCCAGUAGCGGCGAGCGAACGGGGAUGAGCCCAGAGCCUGAAUCAGCAUGUGUGUUAGUGGAAGCGUCUGGAAAGGCGCGCGAUACAGGGUGACAGCCCCGUACACAAAAGCGCAUAUGCUGUGAGCUCGAUGAGUAGGGCGGGACACGUGGUAUCCUGUCUGAAUAUGGGGGGACCAUCCUCCAAGGCUAAAUACUCCUGACUGACCGAUAGUGAACAAGUACCGUGAGGGAAAGGCGAAAAGAACCCCGGCGAGGGGAGUGAAAAAGAACCUGAAACCGUGUACGUACAAGCAGUGGGAGCCCCACCACUAAGCCAGUGGUGAACUCCACAUACGCAUCCUUUGCUGAGGAUGCGGUUAACGGAGCGAAAGCGACGUUCAACCGCAAAAGAAGCAGAGGGGGCUUAGUGGUGG
rnacentral:rRNA from 2 species